rnacentral:rRNA from 1 species
CUACCACAUCCAAGGAAGGCAGCAGGCGCGCAAAUUACCCACUCCCGGCUCGGGGAGGUAGUGACGAAAAAUAACAAUACGGGACUCUUUUGAGACCCCGUAAUUGGAAUGAGUACACUCUAAAUCCUUUAACGAGGAUCCAUUGGAGGGAAAGUCUGGUGCCAGCCGCCGCGGUAACUCCAGCUCCAAUAGCGUAUAUUAAAGUUGUUGCGGUUAAAAAGCUCGUAGUUGGAUCUCAGUUCCAGACGGGUGGUCCGCCUACCGGUGGUUACUGCCUGUUCUGAGCAUUGCCGCCGAAAUUGUCCGAUGAUCUUUACCGGUUGUCGUUCGGUUUCGGCAAUUUUACUUUGAAAAAAUUAGAGUGCUCAAAGCAUGCGUGACGCAUGAAUAAUGGUGCAUGGAAUAAUGGAAUAGGACCUCGGUUCUAUUUUGUUGGUUUUCGGAACACGAGGUAAUGAUUAAGAGGGACAGACGGGGGCAUUCGUAUUGCGACGCUAGAGGUGAAAUUCUUGGACCGUCGCAAGACGAACUACUGCGAAAGCAUUUGCCAAGAAUGUUUCCAUUAAUCAAGAACGAAAGUUAGAGGUUCGAAGGCGAUCAGAUACCGCCCUAGUUCUAACCAUAAACGAUGCCAGCCAGCGAUCCGGCUGUGUUCCUCAAAUGACACGCCGGGCAGCUUCCGGGAAACCAAAGCUUUUGGGUUCCGGGGGAAGUAUGGUU